rnacentral:lncRNA from 1 species
GGUAGAUAGAUAGAGAGAGACAGAAAGGAAGAUAGGUAGAUAGAUAGAGAGAGACAGAAAGGAAGAUAGGUAGAUAGAGAUAGAUGGACAGGAAUAUAGGUAGAUAAAUGGAUAGACAGAUAGGAAGAUAGUUAGAUAGAUGGAUAGCUAGAUGGACAGACAGACAGAUAGGUAGGUACGUAGGUAGGUAGAUAGAUGGAUGGAUUGAUAGAUGUAGGAGGAUAAAUAGAUAGAUGAAUAGGUAAAUGGAUAGAUAGGUAGGUAGGUAGAUGGGUUGAUAGGUAGGUAAGUAGGUAGAUGGAUGGCUGGGCAGGUAGAUAAAUGGGCAGGUAGAUAAAUGGAUGGAUAGAUGGACUGACAGAUAGGUAGACAGGCAGAUAAGUAGAUAGAAGGGUAGGUAGACAGACAUAGACAAAUCUAUAGACAUAUGAAGGUGGAUAGACACAGAGAAAUGGGUGGCAGAUAGACAGGUAGAAAGAAGGAUAGACAAUUAGUCAGACAGAUGAUAGACAGAUAUGAGUAGACACACACAUAUAUGAAAGAGAGAGCAAUAGAGAUGGAGUGUGUGUGUAAGGAUGUAAAAAAAUGGCUGUAUGGAGAGUAAGUUUUCAAAGGAAAAUGGCGAGUAAUGUGUUGAUAGAUAAGAGGGGUUAAUUAGGGGAAGAGUAAAUAAGGGUUACAUAGUUAGGACAUACUGAUACAGAGGGGUUUAAAUAAAAACACAGAGCAGGGUUAGGUAGAAAGAUGUGUGUGUGUGUGUUUGUAUGAGGGUGUAUAGAAAAAGGGUUAGAUAAGAGGAAUUGGUGAUAGAUAGAUCGCUUGAUAGAUAGAUAGAUCAAUUGAUACAUAGAUGGACUGAUAGAUCAAUCAGUAGAUUAACAGAUUGAUUGAUAGACAGAUCAAUUGAUCGAUAAGUAGUUAGAUUGAUUGUUUUUUUUUUUGUUUGUUCUUUCUCGAGCCAUGCCUGGCUCAUAAGGGCCGGUUUCCCGGUUUCUUGGCAUAUAGUUUCCCCACCUGGACGGGACGCCGGUCCAUCGCAGGUGAGCUGCAAGAUGCAGGAGGAAAGAGUGAGAGAAAGUUGUGGCGAAAGAGUCAGCAGAAGUUUCACCAAUACCUUCUGCCGGAGCCGCGUGGAGCUUAGGUGUUUCGCUCAUAAACACACACAUUGUCCGGUCAGAGAUUCGAACCUGCGAUCCCUCGACCACGAGUCCGCUGCUCUAACCAUUAGGCCAUGUGCCUCCACAGUUAGAUUGAUUGAAAGAUUGAUAGAUGUUAGAGAGAUGGAUAGACAGGCAAAUGGAUUGAAGGAUAGACAGGCAGAUCGAUAGACAGACAGAUCAAUAAAUAGUCAGAAAGACAGACAAAUGGAUGGAUAAAUGUGAUAGGUUAGUCGGCAGGUACGUAGAUUGAUGGAUCCCUAAAAUGAUAGAGGGAGAGUAAGGUAAAUUUGAUAGAAAGAUAGGUGAGAUGAUUGAUAGAUAUAAACAGGUGGGAAAGUAAGGAGGUAGAUAGCCAGGGAUAUGGGUAAGUGAAUAGAGAGAUAUGUAGGUAGGUAGGUCAAUAUAGACUGAUUGCUAGGUAGCUAGGGUACUAGGUGAGUGGAUAGGUAGAAAGAGAGAUGAAUAGGGAGUUAAGGAGAGAGAGAGGGUUAGAUAGACAGAAAGAUAGAUAGGGAAGAGAGACAGAUAGAAAGAUAGGUUAAGGGAUAAAGGGACAGAUAGAUAAGCAGACAGAUACGUUGAGGAAUAAGUAAACAAACAGAGAGGAGAAUAGGUAGGAGGAGAUAGGGAGAAGGUAGGAGGAGAUGGAGAAGAGAGAGGAGGUCGGGAGGAGGUAGGAAGGAGGUAGUGAGGAGGGAGGAGAUAGAGGAGGUACAGAGGAAGUGGAGAGGAUGUGGGGAGGACGUAGAGAGGAGAUAAGGAGGAGGUAGGGAAAUGGGGAGGAAAUAGAGGGGGUAGGGAGGAGAUAGAUUGAUAGACAGGUAGAUAGAUUGAUGGACAGGUAGAUAGCUUGAUGGACAGGUAGAUAGCUUGAUGGACAGGUAGAUAGCUUGAUAGACAGGUAGAUAGCUUGAUAGACAGGUAGAUAGCUUGAUAGACAGGUAGAUAGCUUGAUGGACAGGUAGAUAGAUUGAUGGACAGGUAGAUUGAUUGAAUGACAGGUAGAUAGCUGGAUAGACAGGUAGAUAGCUUGAUAGACAGGUAGAUAGAUUGAUAGACAGGCAGAUAGAUUGAUAGACAGGUAGAUAGCUUGAUAGACAGGUAGAUAGCUUGAUAGACAGGUAGAUAGAUUGAUAGACAGGCAGAUAGAUUGAUAGACAGGCAGAUAGAUUGAUAGAGAGGCAGAUAGAUUAAUAGACAGGUAGAUAGCUUGAUAGACAGGCAGAUAGAUUGAUAGACAGGCAGAUAGAUUGAUAGACAGGCAGAUAGAUUGAUAGACAGGUAGAUAGAUUGAUAGACAGGUAGAUAGAUUGAUAGACAGGUAGAUAGAUUGAUAGACAGGUAGAUAGAUUGAUAGACAGGUAGAUAGCUUGAUAGACAGGUAGAUAGAUUGAUAGACAGGCAGAUAGAUUGAUAGACAGGCAGAUAGAUUGAUAGAGAGGCAGAUAGAUUAAUAGACAGGUAGAUAGCUUGAUAGACAGGUAGAUAGCUUGAUAGACAGGUAGAUAGCUUGAUAGACAGGCAGAUAGAUUGAUAGACAGGCAGAUAGAUUGAUAGACAGGUAGAUAGAUUGAUAGACAGGUAGAUAGAUUGAUAGACAGGCAGAUAGAUUGAUAGACAGGUAGAUAGCUGGAUAAACAGGCAGAUAGAUUGAUAGACAGGCAGAUAGAUUGAUAGACAGGCAGAUAGAUUGAUAGACAGGUAGAUAGAUUGAUAGACAGGUAGAUAGAUUGAUAGACAGGUAGAUAGCUGGAUAGACAGGCAGAUAGAUUGAUAGAGAGGCAGAUAGAUUAAUAGACAGGUAGAUAGCUUGAUAGACAGGUAGAUAGCUUGAUAGACUGGUAGAUAGAUUGAUAGACAGGUAGAUAGCUUGAUAGACAGGUAGAUAGCUUGAUAGACAAGUAGAUAGAUUGAUAGGUAGAUAGAGGGCGAGAUGGAUAGAUUGAAGGAUAGAGAGAAGAUAGAGGGAUAGAUAUACAGACAGAGGGUUAGAUAGGUAGAUAGAUGAAGACAAAAAAGGAGGUAGGUGGGUAGAUAGAUACAUACAUAGGUGGGUAGAUAGAUAGAUAGGUAGGUAUACUAAAUCAUUUAGGCAAGCUUUAUUUCGAAUUAAAAACUAAAAUUUAGAUUUAAUUAUCAAAAGAAAAACUCAAAUUUGCAUUGUAUAAAAAAAAAUUUUUUUUUUUUCUUUCUUCUAAAUCACCCAAAAGUAUGAAAUGAAGGUCUGUGCUAUUUAGCCCUAGGUCAGUCCUGAUGAAGCAGUCCAAUGAACAGUGUCUUACCAACUUGACCAUGUCUGAUCUUUUUUUUAGGGAUAGAAGGGAUCGUUUAGGAUAAUGUAUCCACUUCAGUUGGGUUUUUUUUUUUGGUGGUGGUGGGGGGGGCUUUUGUUUUCAUAGUUUGAGAUGGCAAGUUGGUGUAAUUUGAGGGACAUAUGGCUGUUGUUUCUAGUAGGCUUGACGACCUUUGUUGGGCUUUCAUGUUUGUGUGUGUAUGUGUAUGUGUAUUAGUAUGUGUACAUGGUCACUCUUUGCAUAUAGGCAUUUGUGUAGGUAAUAUGUGUGUGUGUACAUAUAAAACAUACUUGUGUGUGUAUAUAUAUAUGUAUGUAUAUA